rnacentral:lncRNA from 1 species
GUGGAGAUUGAUGGUUACUUUCACUCACCACGGAAUCCAAGACUACGCGAGCCUCCGUGGUAAUGUGGUCCUGGAGCUCCUCUCGGUGAGCCACGAUCAGCAUCUUGUCCUCCGACGUUAAUGGAUCUUCGGAAUGAAUGCACUCAAUGGCGCGCACGAGCUCGGGGCUAAGACGUUGAUGCUGAAACAAAGAAGGAAUGAGGGGGGAUAUUCUCCUCCUUAGGGUCUAAAAAA